rnacentral:rRNA from 1 species
AAUCGACGCUGGCGGCGUGCCUAACACAUGCAAGUCGAACGCGAAAGUCCCGCAAGGGGCAAGUAGAGUGGCAAACGGGUGAGUAACGCGUGGGCAAUCUGCCCUCUAGCCUGGGAUAACAGUUCGAAAGGACUGCUAACACCGGAUAUGCUCACAGCCUGGCAUCAGGCAGUGAGGAAAGUUUACACUAGAGGAUGAGCCCGCGUCCCAUUAGCUAGUUGGUGAGGUAACGGCCCACCAAGGCGACGAUGGGUAGCCGACCUGAGAGGGUGAACGGCCACACUGGGACUGAGACACGGCCCAGACUCCUACGGGAGGCAGCAGUAGGGAAUUUUCCGCAAUGGGCGAAAGCCUGACGGAGCAACGCCGCGUGAGGGAUGAAGGUCUUCGGAUCGUAAACCUUUGUCUAGAGGGACGAUAAUGACGGUACCUCUGGAGGAAGCCACGGCUAACUACGUGCCAGCCGCCGCGGUAAAAC